CGGACACACAGUCAGGAGCCGGGAGGAGACCACUGGAAACUUUUUAUUUGAUCAGCUGAUAAGCACAUGCAGACCCCUUCACCAGCUUAGUUCAAAACAGGAAUCAAGGAUAUGAACAUGGCAGGAUGCAUAUGCAGGGGAAAAAGGGUCCCCGAUGGGCUCCACUCCGCACGUGGAACAUACAGGUGCGAGGACAUAAAGGUGUGUGUGUGUGUGUGUGCGUGUGCGUGUGCGUGUGUGGUGGUCGUUUCACAGCAUCUUUACUGGUCUGAGCUCUCUCCUGAGAGCAGGUAGAGAGAGAUGAAAUGAGAACAAACAAGUGCAGGAGAAGAGAGAAGAGGCAGCUCCCAGCGGUGUCCUGCCUGGUGGAUUUUAAAGAGCAGGAAAGAGACUGGUCAGCCUUUUCUCCUUGCCCCCAGCGCCGGCAGAUAAGCAGAGACGCACCGAAAGAGGGACCGAAACAGAGAGAGAAAUAACGUGACAAGCUUGUGCGAGGUGAUAAGAGAUGACAGUAACUUUCUUCAACCCUGAUUUCUGCAGGUCACAGUUUCUCUCGCAGGGUCUUAUUAAUCAUCAGUGACGCCGCUGGACAGUUCUAACACCCGACUCUUCAUUCUCACAGCCGCACAUGUUCAACACCCUCCGUCACCUUUACAAUCGUCCCCUAUGAACACGGGCAGGCCCAGUCAGGCACGACCAGGCACUGCAGACCCUUUUUUUCCACAUUUGGCUUCUACUUUUUUUCUUUUUUUUUCAUCUGGAUCGCAGCCUCUUCCUCCCACCCCUGCUUCUGAUAACUCGCCCCCCUGCCCCCUUGGCCCCUGCAAAGUUUCGUCCGCCGGACACUCGAGGUUUCUGUAUGUCUUCAGUUUUCUCCACGAGUUCAAGCGUCAUGGAUGAACCCUGUCCUGGCUCUCCUCCUCUGCACCUGCGGAGCCUUCGUCCUCCGUCCCACUCCUCGUGACUUCCUUCAGCACCAUUGUGCAUCAUUUUUUUUUUCUGAUUCACACCCUCGUCUCGAUAUUUCUCUCCGCUGCCUUUUCCCACCUUCUCUGCAUUUUCAACAGUUCUCCUCUCUCAGUCACGCACAAGAAUCACUCACUGCCGUGCAAGAAAGUGCACUCGCAAUGCGUGCUCACACGUAUGCCGUGUGCAGGCUUUGUGUGAUGUGAAGCCAAGUCCGUUCUUUUCCCAGGCAGGCCAGCGGCAGCGAGGACCCCGGCUCACAGUUAACCUCCCUCCCUGGCUCUUACGCUCUCCUUCCUCCCUUUCUUUCUCCUUUUCUUUCUCACAAGGUAAAGGCCGAGGAGUGGGGGGAUGACAUCAUUCAGGGGGAUUCCGGCAGGACAUUUGACUGUUAAAUGAUGAAAGCAGAUUAACCAGCAGUGAGGAAUCCGGGUGGUUAUCAUAAAAUGAUUUGGACCAUGGUUCUUUAUCUAAAGCAUUAGUGAUUUUCUUCAUCUGUAGUCUAAUCCUUUGAGGGUUAAGGCAACUUUGCUCUUUUGGAUUCUACAGCUCAAGAGACACAGGUUCAUCAGGAAAUUGGUAUAAUUGUUCCUCCUUGUACACCUCUCCUGUCUCACGCUGGACUUCUGAUCAGAUAUUACAGAUUCUAAAAUGCUCCAGCUAUACUCAUGCUGGUAAUUAGUUUUUUAUUUCAUUUGUGGGCGUGAAAUUUCAGUGUUUAAAUUAUGUCUUUUUUAAUUUUGUAUUGUUAUAUUGUUCACGUUCCAUUGCUUUUUAUUUUCCACCUAAUGUCACAAUGCUUUCAUAAACUCAUUAACAUAAAUUCUAAAA